rnacentral:rRNA from 1 species
CCUACGGGAGGCUGCAGUGAGGAAUAUUGGUCAAUGGACGAGAGUCUGAACCAGCCAAGUAGCGUGAAGGAUGACUGCCCUAUGGGUUGUAAACUUCUUUUAUAUGGGAAUAAAAUGUUCCACGUGUGGGAUUUUGUAUGUACCCUAUGAAUAAGGAUCGGCUAACUCCGUGCCAGCAGCCGCGGUAAUACGGAGGAUCCGAGCGUUAUCCGGAUUUAUUGGGUUUAAAGGGAGCGUAGGUGGAUUGUUAAGUCAGUUGUGAAAGUUUGCGGCUCAACCGUAAAAGUGCAGUUGAAACUGGAAGUCUUGAGUACAGUAGAGGUAGGCGGAAUUCGUGGUGUAGCGGUGAAAUGCUUAGAUAUCACGAAGAACUCCGAUUGCGAAGGCAGCUCACUGGACUGCAACUGACACUGAGGCUCGAAAGUGUGGGUAUCAAACAGGAUUAGAUACCCGAGUAGUC